UAACGCGUGGGUAACCUGCCUUACNNUGGGGGAUAACACUUAGAAAUAGGUGCUAAUACCGCAUAAGCGCACGAAGCCGCAUGGAUUUGUGUGAAAAACUCCGGUGGUGUAAGAUGGACCCGCGUCUGAUUAGCUUGUUGGCGGGGUAACGGCCCACCAAGGCGACGAUCAGUAGCCGGCCUGAGAGGGUGGACGGCCACAUUGGGACUGAGACACGGCCCAAACUCCUACGGGAGGCAGCAGUGGGGGAUAUUGGACAAUGGGGGGAACCCUGAUCCAGCGACGCCGCGUGAGUGAAGAAGUAUUUCGGUAUGUAAAGCUCUGUCAGCAGGGAAGAAAGAAAUGACGGUACCUGACCAAGAAGCCCCGGCUAACUACGUGCCAGCAGCCGCGGUAAUACGUAGGGGGCAAGCGUUAUCCGGAAUUACUGGGUGUAAAGGGAGCGUAGACGGUUAAGUAAGUCUGGAGUGAAAGGCCGGGGCCCAACCCCGGGACUGCUCUGGAAACUAUUCAACUUGAGUGCAGGAGAGGUAAGCGGAAUUCCUAGUGUAGCGGUGAAAUGCGUAGAUAUUAGGAGGAACACCAGUGGCGAAGGCGGCUUACUGGACUGUAACUGACGUUGAGGCUCGAAAGCGUGGGGAGCAAACAGGAUUAGACACCCUGGUAGU
rnacentral:rRNA from 1 species